rnacentral:rRNA from 1 species
GUUUACGGCCACACCGCCCUGGACAUGCCUAAUCUCGUCCGAUCUUGGAAGCUAAGGGGGCCGGGUCUGGUUAGUACUUGGAUGGGAGACCGCCUGGGAAUACCAGGUGCUGCAAGUU